rnacentral:rRNA from 1 species
AUUGAACGCUGGCGGCAUGCUUUACACGUGCAAGUCGAACGGCAGCACAGGGAGCUUGCUCCUGGGUGGCGAGUGGCGAACGGGUGAGUAAUGUAUCGGAACGUGCCUGGUAGUGGGGGAUAACUACUCGAAAGAGUGGCUAAUACCGCAUGAGAUCUUUGGAUGAAAGCGGGGGACCUUCGGGCCUCGUGCUACUGGAGCGGCCGAUAUCAGAUUAGGUUGUUGGUGGGGUAAAGGCCUACCAAGCCUGCGAUCUGUAGCUGGUCUGAGAGGACGACCAGCCACACUGGGACUGAGACACGGCCCAGACUCCUACGGGAGGCAGCAGUGGGGAAUUUUGGACAAUGGGCGCAAGCCUGAUCCAGCAAUGCCGCGUGCAGGACGAAGGCCUUCGGGUUGUAAACUGCUUUUGUACAGAACGAAAAGUCUCUGGCUAAUAUCUAGAGAUCAUGACGGUACUGUAAGAAUAAGCACCGGCUAACUACGUG